rnacentral:rRNA from 1 species
UACGUAGGGACCAAGCGUUGAUCGGAUUUACUGGGCGUAAAGGGCGCGUAGGCGGCUUAACAAGUCACUUGUGAAAUCUCCGGGCUUAACUCGGAACGGCCAAGUGAAACUGUUAUGCUAGAGUGCAGAAGGGGCAAUCGGAAUUCUUGGUGUAGCGGUGAAAUGCGUAGAUAUCAAGAGGAACACCUGAGGUGAAGACGGGUUGCUGGGCUGACACUGACGCUGAUGCGCGAAAGCCAGGGGAGCAAACGGG